GUAGGGCCAUUUCCUGGCAAGGCAGGAAAUUGUUCCCUGAGAGUGGGUAACUUGAACGAGGGAGAAGUCCGAAAAGGAAAAGUGUGAAAACGGGAUUUAUAGGACGAUAUUGUGUUAUUCUUUCACACAAAUAAGCGCCUAGCUGGAACGGGAACAAGCUCUUCCGGUGUUUUCGUAUGGAGGAUAUGAAGGAGAGGAAAGUGUUUCUGUUCAAAUGAAGGCUCACGGCUGAACAUGAAAAUAAAGGACACUAAGAAACCUCAGACAGACAGACAGGUCUACACCUCCACUGCUUCAUCAAGUGUACAGCAGGAGGGUGAAAUCCAUCAGACAGACAGGUCUACACCUCCACUGCUUCAUCAAGUGUACAGCAGGAGGGUGAAAUCAGCUUUAGAUCAGUCUGUAGAUGUGAUUUAAGCUAUAAUGAGCUAUAGUCCACCCUUCUUUCAUACAUGGCAGAAUGGAACCACCACCACCAUCAUCAUCCCCCAUCACCACCACCAUCACCCCACCAUCAGCACCACCAUCAGCACCACCAUCAGCACCUCCGCCUCCUCCACACCACUCGCAAAUGAUGUAUCUUUUGGCCGCCCCCCGGAGCUCACGGGAGGCCCCCCCAGGGGCCAUCGGCUCAGCCCACGACCCGCUGCCCGGGAGUCCGGGGAGAGAGAAAAAGAAAACCGGCAAAGUACGAGCUCCGGCCAUCGCCGCACGCCCAGUCACGGAGCACCGCAGCCCGGGCCGGGCCGUCGGAGGCCGUCGGCUCAGCCCACGACCGGCUGCCCGGGAGUCUGGGGCCACAUUGGCUCUGGGAGGAACCAAACCAUCGUCACGCAGCAAAGAAACCUACAUACAGGCACUAUCUGCUUUGCCCAUUUUGUCUUAAAACACAAGAGACCCUGUCAUGCCAUCUGCGGAGGGCAUGCUUGAAGAACAGGACUGAAGCAGCCAUCGAAGCCGUGGUUGAAAAGGCCAAGUUGGACGUUGUGGACCUCCUGAAGAAUGGCAGGGCUUUUAGUUAUGCAGUUAUUAAAUUAUGGCAGAUGCAAAUCCAAUCCAAAGUAUGAAAAUGUUGCUUGGUAUCUCUACAGGCACCAUCCCUGCAGUUUGUCAAUGACAGAGAGAAUAUCGGACAGUACCUCCGUGACCUCUCUGAGGCAAAAAUGAAAAAGAGAACACAGCAGAAUUACCUCAAGAGCUUGAAACGAUUCUCGGUUUUCCUCACUGUCCAAACCAACCUGAGAAAUGAGGAUUUGCCACUCCAUAAAGAGUGCCAGCACUUCAUUGCCUUCAAUGAUUCUUUGCAGCACAUCCUUGCCAAGCACUCAAAGAAAGAGAUCACCCAAAAGAGGCACAGCAUGUUGAUUGACGUGUUGUCAACAAAAAACUGCUUGGUUGUACUGGAGGCUGCUAAGAAGGAAUUCUUGGCAGUUAUAGGUAAACUGUCUGACAGUAGUUCUGACACCCUGGAGUCUGUCCAGAACAUCUUUGUGGUGUACUACCUCGAGGCUGUAGUACAUCUACAACCUCCAACGACUGGGCGUGGUGGAGCACAUGACUGUCAGGGAGUGGCUUUCCAGGAGAAAAUGUGAUUCACAUUCCAUAAUUGGGGUAAAGGAGCACAAGACAGCAGCACAGCAAGUGGCCAUGUUUGCCCUGUCAGAGGAGGAGGAGCAUUGGUUUGAUGUGUACUACAGACUGGUGCGGCCACAGCUCCUGAGACCCACCAGGAAACGCAAGAGGGAUGUGGAGGACGAGAUGGAGGGAGAAGAAAGAUUCUUCCUUCCACCGCAGGGAGGCAGAUCCACAGUGCCUCCAAUGACCUGCACCAGUUGCGCACAAGGUACAACCUCCCGUCUUUGAGACGGCAACUAAGAGCCUGACAGAUUCAGCAAAAAUCAAUGGUGGCCGAUUACCUGACCCAUUCCAGCGCAAAAGCGGAGAAGGAUUACCGCGUUAAGACGAUUGGACAUGCUGUGACGGCCGCUGAGAUUAUGAAGGACAUGGGUGUCUCAAGGUGAGCAUUUUUUGCACAAUUAAUACAUACUUAUAAUCUUUUUCUUAUAUUUGUAGUUCUGAUUCUUCUGGGGAGGAUGCCAUCCCGGAACCUUCUGGGGAGGGUACCAGCUGUGAGUCUUCUGGGGAGAGUACCAGCCGAAAUACCCGUAGCACUGCCGGUUCUGCUACUGCUGUCAGAUCUUCGUCAGAAUCGGAAAAGGAAAUUCAGGCGUCAUUUCAAAUCCUAUUUACGAAAUAUCCCGUGACAAUUGAUGGGCCAAAACAAAAACGGGAACUUCUAAAGGGUGUGUCUUGUUUUGGGUUAAAGGUUCAUGAGCGUUGGGAGAAGAGGCAGUUGAAACUGCGACAAGAAUGUGUCCACUGAAACUUCCCUUGGCGUCAGCCAACACAUAACCAGCUCGAAGAAUGUGUUGCAAAGCAGGCAUGGGCCGGUAAAACUGGUAGCCAACGACUUCUUGUGAGGAGUCUGCCAGGCAUCAGCCUUCAGACAUUCUGUUGCAUGUCCCAGACCUGGUGAAAUGUAACUGAAUUGUCUUGGCCAGCUCUGCCUCGAUCUUCAUCUGAAUUCAGUGUAGCCAAAUUCAGAUGAGGGAUUUACUUGGGGGGUGCACCAGGGUCGGGGCUGAGCCGGGGAAGGUGUCUCCAUGUUCCUGUGACGGAGCCCCCGUCCCCGGGACCGCAUCAUGUCCCCCUGUGUAGCCGAAUUCAGAUGAGGGAUUUUGGAUAAAAAUGUGUGAAUGAGAGCCGUGGCUGUGUCCCCCGGAUGAUUUUACGACUUGGGGAGUGCACCGGGGUCGGGGCCAAGCUCCUGUGACGGAGCCCCCGUCCACGGGACCGCAUUAUGUCCCCCCAGAUGAGCGAUUUCGGAUAAGUGACGUCGCGAUUAACAAGACGAAAUAACGUUAUAACAUUACGUCUUGUUUUGGUCAACGAAAAUGAAGAGACAUUUUAGCAUAUUUUUUAUUUUGUAAACCACAUUUAGUCACGUUUUUAUUCGUUUACAAUAAUGCAUUAUAUAUUUAAUUAACGUUAUCGUCACAUGACCAGCAUUUACGUUGCGUCUCGUCUCAUUUUUAUCACGGCGAGGAGGGUGAAGAGGAGGAAAGGCUUCUGCUAUCGGGUGUUAAAGAUGACUUCUAAACAGCACGGGCAGCUACUGAUGAAUUGUCUUGUAUAGCAUUGGCCCCAGCACUGGUCGUCGCCUUUUGGUGUCGAGGCAUAGUUCAUCUGUCGGACGAUCUCUGCGAAGCAGUGUCAGAGGGAUUCGAAGUCGGGUUACUUUUCUCUGUCUCUCUUUCGCGACCCGUGUUUCCCAUUCUCCCUCCUGCUGUACACCCAUUGAAGCAGGUAUGGCUUUGGUGCUGUCACAUGCUGUUCCCGAUUUCUGGGAUCUCGCUCUUUCCUUCUCUGGCACGACUGUGACUGAAGCAGUGUCAGAGGGAUUCGAAGUCGGGUUACUUUUCUCUCUCUCUCUUUCGCGACCCGUGUUUCCCAUUCUCCCUCCUGCUGUACACUUGAUGAAGCAGUGGAGUGGUAGACCUGUCUGUCUGAGUUUGAAUCGACGGCAGGGAUGAGGCGCCGUCGCUAUUCACUGAGCUAUCUGACGCCCAAUAUUCUUGCAUGUCACGGAUUGCUCCGUUCUAAUUUCAUUUGACAGAGCGAAGAAGUCUGUCUCUCCUUCUCUGGCACGACUGUGACUGAAGCAGUUUCCUCCCUCUCUCUUUCUCUUUUUUACACUUAAUGAAGCAAGUGUUGCAGGAAGGAGUCAAACCCGGGUCCACGCCGGCGCUAUUCAAUGAGCCAGCCGAUGCCCAGGUCAUAUCUUUGUUGGCCUUGUCUAGGUUGUGCUUUUUCUGUAAAAACAAUUUGUAGGCCACUUUCAUGCUUUAUUGAUAUUGCCAUCUGGUAUGGUGCUGUCACAUGCUGUGUCAGAGGGAAUUCUGGGAUCUUCAGAUGCUCCCGAACCCGGGUCUCGCUCAAACCCGGGUAACAUUUUGUGAAAUCCUAUGAUUGGUUUUCUUUGCCCAGAGUCAGAUGAAAAAGAUUGAAUAGGAUGCUCGGUUGGUAAACAUGAAGGUGGACACGAGUAGUUUAGCUUUAGGACCGGAAACGAGAGAAACAGUGACUCGAGUCCGGGUCCACGGCAGCGGGGGCGCCGGCGCUAUUCACUGAGUUAUCCGACGCCCAAUAAUCUUGCAUUUCACGGUUUGCUCUGUUCUUAUUUCAAAUGAUAGAGCGAAGAAGUCUGUCUCUCCUUCUCUGGCACGACUGUGACUGAAGCAGUGUCAGAGGGAUUCAAAGCUGGGUUGCUUUCCUCCCAAACCCGGGUUUUCCAUCCUCCUCUCUCCUUCUGCUUUACACUUAAUGAAGCAAGUUUUUCAGGAAGGAUUCGAACCCGGGUCCACGCCGGCGCUAUUCACUGAGCUAGCCGACGCCCAGGUCAUGUCUUUUGUUCGCCUCGUCAAGGUUGUGCUUUUUCUGUAAAAAAAAUUCGUAGGGCACUUUCAUGCUUUAUUGAUAUUGCCAUCUGAUCAAUUGACAGAGCGAAGAAGCCUGUCUCUCCUUCUCUGGCACGACUGUGACUGAUGCAGUGUCAGAGGUGUCUCAUUCGAACCCGUGUUUCCCAUUCUCCCUCCUUCUGCUGUACUCUUAAUGAAGCAGUGCUGAAGGAAGGAUUCACUGAGCUGGCCGACGACCAGGGGUUUGUUUUCUCAAUGCCGUUUUCGUUCUCUAAAAGGGGAGGGAGCGGGGAGGACAUUCAAGUGGACUUGUUGGGAGUUGAACCCUUGUCCACGGCAGGAGGACAGCCUUUGUUCUUACUUUGUCACACAGGUUGGACUGGACCUCCAUGUGUUGUUGUUUCCAUCAGCGAUGGAACUACUGUGACUGUAGUGGGACCUUAGUUGCAGUUCAGUUCAGUUUAGUUUUCAAGCAAGUGAUGCAGGAAGGAGUCGAACCCUGGGUCUUGCCCAGUGGAGGGUACUGUCUGUCUAGGGGCCCUUGCUUUGAAUUUGCCCCGACCCUGGCCCAUCCCCAGAGUCCAGAAGUCACCGCGGGGACACAGCCAUGGCUCUGAGUCACACAUCAUGCCAUUGUACAUUUAGUUUGAAAAAAAUAGGCAGGACUUCACCUCUAGAUUCCUGCAAGUAAUCAAUUCACCAAAGGUUCUCUGGCAAUGUAUUUGUCUUUGCAGAGACAGAACAUUAUCUUUUUGAAAGCAAAACGUUGUCACAUACCACAGACUACAGUAUUUUUCUGUACUAAUGGAGCAGUGUGAUGUCGCAAUAUCAUUUUUCCAAACAAACAGGGGACUUCAGUCAUUAUGCAAAAUCAAAGUGGGGACAUCUUCUGUGUCAGGGCUCAAUGUUCAAUACUACAUUUUACACAUAAGCCUCUUUUCCAUAGACGUAAUAUGCAGCUUGAAUUGAGUCGGUUUUACUUGGCGUGUCGGCCCAUCACAGCAUCUAGCUUAAUUACCAUUAUAACAGGGCUAACUGCUAGGUGUGUUUUCAGUUGCAUGGAUUUUUCUUGACAGGAUAAUCAGAUAGAUACAAAGUUCAACCCUGAACUUGUAGAAACUAGUGUGGAGUGAAAGUUUAGUCAAUUUGCAGUAAUCUGUCCAAAGCCGGCAUCCUUCAUUUCUCUCAUUGUCUGAAUACACAAAACAGGGAUGCACUGUUCAUCACACCUAUACCAAUGGCACCUUAUAAAGAAAACAUUAUUGUACUCUAUGGUGCUGAACUAUCCAAAUAGAACCGAGAUUAUUCAUAAAACAGCAGGCAAACUAGCAAUGAUGCAUUUAGAGGCAAAGGUUUCAAAUCACCUGCAAAGUUAGAAGCAGUGACAAAUUUACAGAGACGGUGUUUGGUUACUUAGGAUGAAUUAAGAACAUUUUAUCAAUAUUUGAGAAGUAGGCUAAAUAGAAGACAUCUCAUCAUUGUGUACCCCUGAUCUUAUUGUAGUGAAGAGCUUAUAUACACAUACAUUAACUUUACUAUAUAGAGUUUGAACUGCAGAUAUAUUUUGAUUUGAAAAAUAUUUGUCAUUAUAGUUAUCAUUCUUGAUGUUGAAGGCACAUUAUCCAUUGUAUCUCAUCCACUGUACCUCCUUCCAUUUUGUGUGGAUAGGCUUAAUGGCCAUCAUCAGCUACAGGUAACCCUCCCCCAUACUGCAGACAGUUAAGGUCUGGCACAGAUUCACACUGUUUCAAGUUACUCACUUCUCAGACGCACAAAAAAGAUAUUAUUUUCUACGAAUUGGACUCAUGUUCAAGGUUUUCAUUGUAAAGUGUUUAAUGUAACAAUAAAAUUGCAAGAGAGCUUUAAAAAUUGUUUUUAUGAACAUUUAUUGUAGUUUUAAAAUGCUCAAAAGGGACAUCACCAUCAGUGUCAGUGAUUACAUUAGUCUGGUUGCACCAACUUUACAGAUCAUGGUAGCACCAACUUUAGAGGACAGAGUCUUUCAAGCCCUGGGCUAUCACAUGUAAAAAUAGAUCAUUUCCCCAAGGAGUUAAAUGAACCUUGUCACGAAGGAAGAGCUGAGGAUGAUCAAACACAAUUUGUGGAUGGUGUAGAGUCCUCCCAUUAACAGACAAAAUAAAGGUUGCCAUCACACUGUC